rnacentral:rRNA from 1 species
UACAGAGGGAGCAAGCGUUAUUCGGAAUUAUUGGGCGUAAAGGGCGCGUAGGCGGCCUGGCAAGUGGAAGGUGAAAUCCCUCGGCUUAACCGAGGAACUGCCCUCCAAACUGCUUGGCUUGAGUCCGGGAGAGGUGAGUGGAAUUCCCAGUGUAGCGGUGAAAUGCGUAGAUAUUGGGAGGAACACCAGUGGCGAAGGCGGCUCACUGGACCGGAACUGACGCUGAGGCGCGAAAGCGUGGGGAGCGAACAGG